CCCCCAAAUCCUUAUCGCCGAACAUCCCUUCGGUUUUGAUCUUAACAACAAGCGUCAAUCGGUUCUGUAACGCAGCAGAUUCAUCGAUCUUAAACUUCAUCUGAUAAUUCCAUGUAGGAUUUGAAUCUCCAUCCUUAUCAACGUGGGUUUUCUGCUUCUGAUCUUGAUUCCCGGCGCCGCUGAUGUAAACAACGGCGUAAACAUCCAUUUUUCCGACGAGAUUGAUUUUAUUGAGUCCUUUUGCAGAUAUUAGUGUGAGCUCCAACGAUCUGUCCGCCAUGGGUAAUUGCUUAAUUUGAAAUCAAGUUCAGAAUUUGGGGAUGAAGGAAUAUAUAGAAAGAAAAACCGAGUA
rnacentral:lncRNA from 1 species